UGUUAUAAUUGGAAGAAAAGUACUUUGCAAUUACUGUUUUGAAGUUUUCACCUCUGGGACAGUUUUCUGUUGUAGAUGAGAAAAUGGAAUUUCAGAAAACACAUGAUGCCGCUUCUUCAAGGGAGAAGAGUGAUACUAAAUAAUAGGGAGGACUGGCAAGAGUGAAUUAUGCAAGGUCUUGGAUGUCAUGAAGGAUCGACUGGUUAUUUUGAUAUCAUGUCCUAUUUCUUAGAACUUUAGUCUUCUUGCUUUCUGUUUCCAGGGUUUCUUUAGGUGUUUUGGCAUCUGCUGUCACAUCUGUGUCUCACUCAGCUCUAUAGGAAAACAUUUAACUCUCUCCUGCCACCUGCCAGAGAUAUGCCCUGAGGCUCUGUACCUUUGGCUUCAGUCAUCGCUUGACCACAUGCAACUCUCUCAACACCCGUGAAGAACCUGCCAGAAUGUAGGAACACAACCAGGAAUGUGAGCAUGGGUUAUCUCACUCUUUCAUGACUUAAACUAAUGUAGGAUUUUAGCACAACCCUGUAAGAUAUGGCCUAGAGAAAAAAAAGAACACAAGACAACAGUCGUCCGUCUAUGAUCCGUCUCUUGUUCUCUCCCAUUCUAUAACCACUGGGAUCUUAUCUGAGUAGGAAAGCAAGAAAAAUUUGUUUAUGGAAUAAACUUUAUGACCUGUGUCUUAUAAGAUUAUACUUCAGAAAAACAAAAUCUCACCCUCUUGCACUUCUAAAAGCCUUUUCUCUCAAGAUCAUAAUCUCUAUUUUCAGUACCAAAAGUCUGUUUUAAGUACAGACUUAAAAUAUUGACCCAUUUGUUUUCCCCUGAAUUUAUUUUCCUAAAAGACACAAUUCCAUAUUUUCCUAGCUGUUGGGUAGGGGCUGCAAGUACAAUAAAUUGUGUUUGAAGUGUGAGGGUAGCACUGAUGAAGAUGUAGACAUAUCAGUCAAUAAUUCAACAUAUUCCUACACAUGUGCUUUCCCCCAUUAGAAAUAAAAGCCUGAGAAAAGAAAUGGUUAUUCUUUUGACAACUGUGUUCUCAGCAUCUAGAAUAGCACCUGGAAAAUGAAUAUUUGUUGAAUGAAGACCUGUACAUAAAAUGGCUCAAAUCCUCAUCAACACAAACACCCACAGAAGUAUUGAAAGAGAAAAGGACUAGAGGCAGAAACCUGAGAAAAACAAAUAAUUUAAGGUGGAAGAUAGUGGACAAAUUGUUAGUGAAGGAGGAUAAGAAGGAGAGGUCAGCAAAUUAGAAGAAAACCCAGGUGAAAAAAGAAAAGUGGUACAGAAAGCAAAGAAGGAGAGAAUUCAAAGGGCAGAGAAAGCAAACUAUGUUAAGAAGAAAAUAAAAAACAGUGAUCUGGUAGAAUAAAGGCUUAAGAGCAGGUGAAUGGUUUUGACAAUUUAUAGGCCAUUAAUAACCUUUGAGAGAUCAGCUUGAAUGAAAUAGUUGGUUCAGAAGUCCAAUUGCAAUGGGCUGAAGAGUCAGAAACCAGCUAGGAUAAUGAAUGUGAAAGUGCUUCUUAAAUCUUAAACCACUUUAAAAAUGCAAUUAGAAUAUACAGCUUGUUAGAUUUAGGUCCUGCUUGUUGCUCAUUCACCAAACUUUCUGAAUUCAUCUAUUUUUCUUGGCAUCAAGCACAGGCAGCUAGGGCUUUAGCUGAGUAUGUCACAAUCAAUGAAACAGAUGUUAACAUUUCCUUAACAUUUUUCUUCUUCCUUGACCUAACCUUUCUUCAUAGCAUGCCCAGGUUUAAAUUAAUGCACUGUGAUUAAACAAUCUUCAAAUGCACUCCACUGUUUCUCUAGGUCAUUUCAAUAGGUCAUCUUCUAUUGCCAACACCUUCACAACUUGCCCUCAGCUUCUUAAAAAAUUCUGAUUUGUUUAGGCAAAAUUGAUAAAACUUUGAAUGUGUCCUUGACCUCAGCCACGAGAUCUGGAACACAAUCUAUCACUUAACCAUGCCUCAGAACUGGCCCCAAUUGCAUUAUUUUGAAUACUUCUUAUUUCUUGGCUUCUCUAUCCCUGAUUUCCAUUUUUAUGGAUUCCCUGUCUAUCAAGUGAACUACUAGACAUUGCAUGAACUUAAGAUAUCAUUAAUUACACUCUGAAAGUUUUCUUUUCCUGACUCGGGCAUAUAUUUCUCAAAUAACCUCAUUCUAAUUUUCCUUUUAAUGACACCUAAUUGUCAGAACAUUAAUAGAAAGGCAUAAAAUCAGAAAUUUUAGAUUGGUUAUAUUUAAAAUAAUUCAGAAAGUAACGGUUUGAGAGUAUAUUAAUUUGUUUCAUAGAGAAAACACUAGCAGAUAUUAAUAUUUAAAGUUUCCUGCCACUAUUUGAGAUUUUUCUACCAGAACCUUAUAACUUAUCUUUUCAGCACCAGAACUGUUUAUGAAGAAAAAUAAUCAAAUGAAAUAAUUUCAUAGUUAUUUUUAUUGGCAAAACAGUGACAUCUAUUGUUCAGUGUUAUAUAAAAUGGAAUUCAAAAAUCAAAAGCAAUGCCUUAUUUUUAAUGUGAUUAGCUCCAGAAUAAUAACUUCUUAGAUUUAUUGUUUCAAAAAGAGUAAUGGAUGAUAUUCAAUAAUUCAUUUUUAUUCUGAAAUCAAAUUUAGGUGAUUAUUUAGGAUCAUGAACAUGUAAUUAUGAUUCAAAGGCCCAAGAUCUGUCUAGGUACUAAAAAUAGAAAGAAAGAAAUAAGAUAAAAAUAUGGAAUAAAAUUCUUAAAGGUGACUGCUUUUUUUCUAUAUAUGUAUUUUUCUUGGUAUAAAUCAGUUUAAUAUGUUUACUGAAAUCUGUGAAUCCGCAGAUUGAUUUCUGAACUCAAGGCAAGUUUCUGUUCUCAUCUUAAUUCUGUUGUUAACUAAAUCUGUGAAUUUAAAUAAGUUGCUUUCAUCUUGGCUACAGUUUAUUAUCCACAAAAAUAUGAGUAUGAGUCUUGAACUGAAAGUAGUCAACUUCCUGCUAGCAUUUAUUUUUCCAGAAGAUGCUAUUCAGAAUCACUAGAUUAAGCAAAAAUUUUUAAAGUUUGACCAUACUGAGUGUCCAUAAUGAUAUGGAAGAAUUGAAAUUCUCAAAUACUGAUGUUAGGAGUAUAAACAAAUACAGUCCCUUUCUAAAGCAAUUUGAAAAUAUCCUGUAAAUUUUAAGGUGAAUCUAUCCCAUCAUCCUGCUUUUCCGUUUGUGUAAGCACUUCACAGGGAAUUCCCACACAUGCACACAAGGAGGUAUUUUCAAGAACUACAUCAUUGCAAUAUUGAAAAAUUCACAAUAUAUUACAGGAGAAUUUAUAAAAUCUUGCAUCUGUACCUACUGAUAUAUUUUACAAUAUAAACAUAAAAUGAUUGAAUUACAGUAGCAUCUAUCAACAUGGGUAAACCUCAAUCAAACAAUAUGAGUAAAAGAGGCACAUUUCAGAUUAUGUAGCAAAUGACCUUUUAUAUAAGAAACCAAAAUGUUUCUAUUCAUUGACUAUGGGCACACCAUAGGUAAAAAAGUAUAAAAUAUUCAUGAGAAUAAUAAAGAACAAAUUCAUGACAAUGGUCACCUAUGGAAAUACAGGGGAGGUAAUGUGACCAGGAUGGAUACACUGGGACUUGAACUGCAUCUGAAAUGUUUUCCUUAUUGAACAAAAAGAGAGAAAGACAUCUGAAGCAAAAUAAGGCAAACUGAGGAGCUGUUUUCAAUGAGUUAUGGGCACACUGAUUCUUAUUAGAUGAUUAUACUUUUCUGCAU
rnacentral:lncRNA from 1 species